CGAUUGGCUUUUUUUGUGUUGGUAAACAGACAGAAAGUAGCAUCAUCUUCGCUAGUUACUGUAGUAAAUGUUGUAGCAUUACAUAUAGUGGCAGCUGAUAGUAAAACAAACAAUUUCGUUUUCUCAGAGUUUAAAACAAAUUAUUUUUUUCUCCAAAAACGGAAACAAACUUUUUUUCAAAAAGAAUCCAACACCUGUGUGCAAUUUUUACAGUUGAUUUUUUAAGCCAAUAGCCUGGAAUAAAGUGCCUAUUGGGAUGAUUUUCUUUUUCUACUUGUUAGAACUUUAAUGAAAUGACAUCUAG
rnacentral:lncRNA from 1 species